AUGCAUGAGUCUUUGACUUAGGCAAGUGCUUAUACUUCAUUUCUAUUUUUCAUUUCUUUUCAGUUUUUUUCGGUAGAAGUGGAUGUUUCUACACACUUCUUUCUUUUCUUUUGUUUGCACUUUCCCUUUUUCAAAAUUUCUUCUAAGGAUCACCACCCCAAACUUAUCUUUUUGCACAAAUUUUACACUACAACAGUCAUGCCGAGCGAGGGUAGGAAGUGUUUGGCUUAUGGUUAACAUG
rnacentral:lncRNA from 1 species